GUGCUCGCUUCAGCAGCACAUAUACUAAAAUUGGAACGAUACAGAGAAGAUUAGCAUGGCCCCUGCACAAGGAUGACACAGAAAUUCAUGAGCAUUCCUCAUUUUUA